GGGAUGUUGUAAGAUCUUGGAUGGUGUUAAUGAAGAUGUUGUCCGCUUUCAGGUUGGGAACAAAAGGUGGUUUUUCCUUUUCAACAGAUCUUGACUAACAGUUCUGUUUUUUGCUUCAUUUUCAGAAGGAAUUCCGGAGGUUUUAGGGUGAUCGGUAUGCAGAUUAAAUGGCUGGAUAUUUGGAAAACGGUUGUCAGUGUUGGUGUGAAGUUCCGCUCUGCAUACUUUUAUUAAUUAAACUGAUUUUAUGUUGCAUUUUGUGUAUACUGUAUUCACGAUGUCGUUUGUAGAC